rnacentral:rRNA from 1 species
UACGUAGGGGGCUAGCGUUGUCCGGAUUUAUUGGGCGUAAAGAGCGUGUAGGCGGCCAGGUAGGUCUGCUGUGAAAACUCGAGGCUCAACCUCGAGAUGUCGGCAGAAACCAUCUGGCUAGAGUCCGGAAGAGGAAAGUGGAAUUCCUGGUGUAGCGGUGAAAUGCGCAGAUAUCAGGAGGAAUACCAGUGGCGAAGGCGGCAUCCUGGCCAUGUCCUGACGCUCAGGGGCGAAAGCGUGGGGAGCAAACCGG